rnacentral:rRNA from 1 species
UACGAAGGGGGCUAGCGUUGCUCGGAAUCACUGGGCGUAAAGCGCACGUAGGCGGCCUUCUAAGUCGAACGUGAAAUCCCCGGGCUCAACCCGGGAACUGCGUCCGAUACUGGAAGGCUUGAAUCCGGGAGAGGGAUGCGGAAUUCCAGGUGUAGCGGUGAAAUGCGUAGAUAUCUGGAGGAACACCGGUGGCGAAGGCGGCAUCCUGGACCGGCAUUGACGCUGAGGCGCGAAAGCCAGGGGAGCAAACGGG